rnacentral:RNase_P_RNA from 1 species
AGUGAGCCGAACGGUCGCGGGCAUAAGGCGAAAGCCUGUGCGUGAGGAAAGUCCGGGCUCCGCAGGGCAAGGAUAACGGGUAACGCCCGCCAGGGGUGACCCUCGGACAAGUGCAACAGAAAUAUACCGCCGAGCAAUCGGUAAGGGUGGAAAAGUGAGGUAAGAGCUCACUCGCCGGCUGGAGACAGUUCGGUGCUGUAAACUCUAUCCGGAGCAACACCGUGGGAGGACACGAUGAUCGGCCCGAUCGUCCUCGGGAGGUGGCUGAAGCCCGUCGGCAACGAUGGGUUUAGAUAGAUGACCGUUUAAGACAGAACCCGGCUUACAGACUCACUCG